CUUCCGUAGGGGAACCUGCGGAAGGAUCAUGUACCGAGUUUUCGAGCUCCGGCUCGACUCUCCCACACCUUUGUGAACGUACCUCUGUUGCUUUGGCGGCUCCGGCCGCCAAAGGACCUUCAAACUCCAGUCAGUAAACGCAGACGUCUGAUAAACAAGUUAAUAAACUAAAACUUUCAACAACGGAUCUCUUGGUUCUGGCAUCGAUGAAGAACGCAGCGAAAUGCGAUAAGUAAUGUGAAUUGCAGAAUUCAGUGAAUCAUCGAAUCUUUGAACGCACAUUGCGCCCCUUGGUAUUCCGGGGGGCAUGCCUGUUCGAGCGUCAUUACAACCCUCAAGCUCUGCUUGGAAUUGGGCACCGUCCUCACUGCGGACGCGCCUCAAAGACCUCGGCGGUGGCUGUUCAGCCCUCAAGCGUAGUAGAAUACACCUCGCUUUGGAGCGGUUGGCGUCGCCCGCCGGACGAACCUUCUGAACUUUUCUCAAGGUUGACCUCGGAUCAGGUAGGGAUACCCGCUGAACUUAAGCAUAUCAAAAGGCGGAGGAA
rnacentral:rRNA from 1 species